rnacentral:rRNA from 1 species
CGGCAACAGCUCAAAUUUGAAAUCUGGCCUCGCGGUCCGAGUUGUAAUUUGUAGAGGAUGCUUCGAGCAUGGUCCGGUCUAAGUUCCUUGGAACAGGACGUCACAGAGGGUGAGAAUCCCGUAUGCGACUGGGUGCCUAAGCUCAUGUGAAGCUCCUUC